UUGAUUUGAGAAUGGUCCGAUCACUAGAAAAAACCGUUUGAACCGUGAACUAAGAAAUCGGUAAAAAUCCUGUCCGACCGGUUCUUUCGUCUGCGCAAGCCGAUAAAAACAAACAACCUGAGACCCACACCCACCCGGGCAACCACCACUCUCGUCACUCGUCCAUCCGGCCUCUGACUCUCUCAACCUCUCUUCACUCUUUAGUCUCCAAUCUCCCUCCACCUUCCGGCUUUCAGCCUCCAGUUCAGCUGCCUUUAGCCAUCUGCUUCUUCGACGACCAUCGCAGCUGAAAAAUGAGGAAGUCAGAAAGAUUGGUUUGGUGGUAAAGGACAAGUGAGAA
rnacentral:lncRNA from 1 species